GGCAAAGGCGGGGCCGGGAAAGGAAGCUUUGUGGUCCAGCUUUAGGAACACAGUAGGCGUCCCUUGUGGGAGCUGCGGCCCUGUUGCUCUACGUUGGCACCUCGCUCCAUGGCAGUUCCCGAGACCCGCCCCAACCACACUAUUUAUAUCAACAACCUCAACGAGAAGAUCAAAAAGGAUGAGCUGAAGAAGUCGCUGUACGCCAUCUUCUCCCAGUUUGGCCAGAUCCUGGAUAUCCUGGUGUCCCGGAGCCUGAAGAUGAGGGGCCAAGCCUUUGUCAUCUUCAAGGAGGUCAGCAGCGCCACCAACGCCCUGCGCUCCAUGCAGGGCUUCCCCUUCUAUGACAAGCCCAUGCGAAUCCAGUAUGCCAAGACUGACUCGGAUAUUAUUGCCAAGAUGAAGGGCACUUUCGUGGAGCGGGACCGUAAGCGGGAGAAGAGGAAGCCCAAGAGUCAAGAUACCCCAGCUGCCAAGAAGGCUGUGCAGGGUGGGGCGGCUGCCCCCGUGGUAGGGGCCGUCCAGGGGCCUGUCCCGGGCAUGCCACCGAUGACGCAGGCACCCCGCAUCAUGCACCACAUGCCGGGCCAGCCUCCCUACAUGCCACCCCCUGGCAUGAUCCCGCCACCUGGCCUUGCCCCUGGCCAGAUCCCACCAGGGGCCAUGCCCCCGCAGCAGCUUAUGCCGGGACAGAUGCCUCCUGCCCAGCCCCUCUCGGAAAAUCCACCAAACCACAUCUUGUUCCUCACCAACCUGCCAGAAGAGACCAACGAGCUCAUGCUGUCUAUGCUUUUCAACCAGUUCCCUGGCUUCAAGGAGGUUCGGUUGGUCCCCGGGCGGCACGACAUUGCCUUUGUGGAGUUUGACAAUGAGGUGCAAGCAGGGGCUGCUCGCGAUGCCCUACAGGGCUUCAAGAUCACCCAGAACAAUGCCAUGAAGAUCUCCUUUGCCAAGAAGUAGCACCUUUCCCCCAUGCCUGUGCCUGCCCCUGCCCCCGUUCUGGAGCCACCCCUCUCCCCUUGGCUCAGGCCCCUGAAGCUUUCCUCGGUGUCAUCGUCUUGCUGUCCACCUUCCCACGGCCAAGUGUGGAGGGCCGCCCCAUGCCCAAGCUAGCCGACCGAAAGCUGUGCGCGGAUGAAGAAUGCAGCUGUAAGCUUGGGGAGGGGGCAUUCAGCCUGGGGUGCUGGCCCUGUCUGUGGGUGCUGUCACUCCCUUCUCUUCCUUCUCCAGACCCCAUCUCCAUGGCGGUGGCCCUUCAGGACUACGUGGCCCCC